GGAAUUGUGGCUGAGUGGCUUAAAGCGCUAAUUUGCUAAAUUAGAGUGUAUUUUUUUGCACCGUGGGUUCGAAUCCCACCUUUUCCC
rnacentral:tRNA from 1 species